rnacentral:lncRNA from 1 species
AUAAGAUGUGAAAAACAAGACCCAGAGAGGGGAAAUCAUUUGAAUCCUGUCCUGGUAUUGCUUUGUGUUCCUGGAUUUGGAGAAUUUCUGGGAACACAGGAAAAGGAAAGGCUCAGCUCCAGAAGCAGACCCAGAAUGGCAUCCUUCUCUGAGACCCAGACCCCAGCCCCUUUUCAUGGAAGACCAGCACAAAGGAGGAAGUAGGUUAGGGAAUGGUAAGGCUCCAUGUGAUGGGACUAAUGUGGAGAGGCCUGGGGCCUUUCCCUGAGGACUGGAUGGCUGGAGUUUGGGAGCCUGAGUUGACAGAGGAGGCUAAGCCCGGGCAGCUACUUUGUUCCAGAAAUCUAAGGUCCCUGGAGGGAGGCUCUGCUUUGGGAGGGGGAAGGGAGCUAACAUUGCAGAGCACCAACUGUGAACCAGGUACAAUGGCAGAGCCUUUCCAUACCUGUACUCACAACUAGCGGGUGAGGAGUCAAGGCAAAUAGGUGUCUCAUAGCUCCCCAUAUCUCGGCAGUCGACCACCUCCUCCUUUGAUUCUCUGAUGUCACUGCCAGUUCUCCUCCUAUUGCUCUGACCUGUCUUUCUCUGUGUCCUUUGCAAACUCAUUCUCAACUCCUUAGACUCAGUCAAGUCCCCCAGUUACACACUUCCAUGGUACUAUAUAUCAUUCCUUCAGAGCACUUAACACAGUUAUUUCCUAUGUAUUUGUCCAGUCAUUUGAAUAAUGAUCCUAGUUUCAUUGGAUGGAAAGUUCCACAAGGUCAGUGACCAUUUCUAUCUGUGUUCACCAAUGUGUUCCCAGUGCCCAGAAACAAUGCCUAGCAUAAAGCAGCUGUUUUGUAAAUACUUGUUCAAUGAAUGAAUAAAUGACAAAAGAACAUCUCUCUGGCCUAAACUCCCUUCUUAGCCACUCCCUCACCCUGAGCUCACCCACCCCAAUGUGUGGACCAGGGAACAAAGUACCU